rnacentral:sRNA from 1 species
CAAGGAGGCUGGGGCCGUGGCAGCUGUCAUCUUGGUGCACUGUGGCCAGCUGAGUGAUAAUGAGGAAUGGAGCCUGCAGGCGGUGGAGAAGCAUGUGAGUGGGAGUGGGGCCAUGUGCAAUGAGGCUGAAGACCCUUAUCACAGCUGGUGGGAAGAUGGCCUGGCCAGGGAGCUGGACAGACCUGGGUUUCAGCUUCGGCUUUGCUGCUUUUGAGCUGUGUGACCUUGAGCAAGUCACUAAACCUCUCUGGGCCUCAGUUUCACACCUGAAAAUGGGGAUAAUGAUAGCACCGACUGACCUAGGGCAGUGGUGAAACAAAACUGGUCAAAUAUCUUGUAAAUACACACGGUUGCCAACUUACAAUUUUCGACUUUUUGAUGGAUUUAUGGGGAAGCAACCCUAUCCUAAGUCCAGGAGCAUCUGUACUUAGAAAGAACCCUCCACAUAAUGAUACUGA